rnacentral:rRNA from 1 species
UGGCCCUACGGGGCGCAGCAGUGAGGAAUAUUGGUCAAUGGCCGAGAGGCUGAACCAGCCAAGUCGCGUGAGGGAUGACGGCCCUACGGGUUGUAAACCUCUUUUGUCGGGGAGCAAGACCCACCACGAGUGGCGGAGCGAGAGUACCCGAAGAAAAAGCAUCGGCUAACUCCGUGCCAGCAGCCGCGGUAAUACGUAGGGGGCGAGCGUUAUCCGGAAUUAUUGGGUGUAAAGGGAGCGUAGACGGCGAGGUAAGCCUGAAGUGGAAGCCCGCGGCCCAACCGCGGGACUGCUUUGGUAACUGU